UCGCAGACGUUCAGUCGUUACAGCUGCCGAUAGAAAACGUCAUCAAUCAAGUGUUCACAGCAUUAAAAAAUCUAAACGGGCGCAGACGCGUGACGAUAAUGCCAAGCAUUAGAGCUGUGCCGCCGCACUGUAUCAGAGCCAUGUGAUCUUUGGCGCCGGAAAUGGUUGGGAUGCUGCGAGUAUAAUCCAACCACAACGCCGGUAGGUACCUGCAGACCAGCUGAUGUUACGUGCGCUGCCUACGUAGCGCGAUUUUGCCGGGAGAACAACAAGAAGUAAAUCAGAGGGACGCUGACCUUACGAGCGAAGGAGCGAGUUGCGACGAUGCGUCUUCCGCUGCAGAGCAACUGAUUGUGAAAUUGACCCGCAGUCGUCACUGCAUUUGGUCCAGCAUAGCCGAGUCAGUCGCAUACCCAGAAGUCGUUCUCGGGAUGUUUACUCUCGUGAUGUAAAAAGCUGAUCUUCGGCUCGAGUCUCAUGCUUCUCACCGCCGUCAUAGCGAUCUCGGAAGGGCUUUGUCUUUGCUCCAUCUCCGUCUCCUUUUCUUCUGCACCUCACUUAACUCUCUCUUUCACCGUCUUACGGCAGAGACAGCGAUCGUGAUCAUAUUCUCCGUGUCCAUUAGACGUUUCCGUUGUACGCGGAAGCGCCGCGCCGUAUCGGCCGCCUGGUGUCCCCGUCAAGGGAGGAACGAUUCACGAAUUGGAAAAAAUCGGUAGACGCUUUGAGUCGUCGGCGUUGCUUCUGAAAAAAUUUUCACAAGUUCCGUCGCACUUGAUGAAGCGGCUGGUUCUUUUGGAUCAAAAUAAGCCAGAAGUUUAUGCAUCCGCAGUACGGCGAGCA